CGUCUGAGAAAUCGCGCCUUGCGAACGAAGUGACUGCAGCCAUCAACGCUUCAAUACGACAGCGAAGAAGAAGGGCGCGUGCGUGUGGGGAGCUCUGCCUUUAUCGUAGUUGAUGCGUGUGCCGGCACGUAUUGCUGCCGGUUGCCGUAUAUGGUCAAGGCAGCCGCGAUCGCUAAUUCUUGUUUUGUGCGGCUGCUCCGUGUCAGGAAGAGGGAUGCAGCGAUACGUGGGGUGCGCAUGGGGGCAUCGAGGCGGCCGAUGGGCAACCACCACGCUAGCCAUGGCGUCAGCCGCCGCUACUCCAUCGUUGCUGGUGUCUUCUAGCAUGCUCACUACUUCACGCUACUGCACGACGACGAGCGCAUCGGCAGAGGUACCAGCGCAAGGCGACGACGGCAACGCGGUUGUCCCUCACCUCAAGCAAGACAUGGAAGCACUCGAGACGCUGCGCUCCAUCGCGCCUGUCAGCUCCACGGAGGAAAUCCAGGCAAUGAUCAAGAGCGCAAAGAACGCUCGCGAGGUGCGGAUGGUGCUCGAGAGGAUCGUCUACACGCACCACCUCUGCUUUGACCUGCUCAACGGCCACGGCUACCGUGUUGCGGUGCUGCAGACGCUGACGGCCGUAGCACCGCACGCGAGCUGCAUGCACGAGUGGUUCGACUGCGUCGCCCGCUUCCGGCGCCUGGGCUUCAUGCUCACCCGCACGUACGCGGCGGAGGGUUUCACGACAAUACGGCAGUGGCUGUCGCGCGAGUUCCUUCACCGCGGGCGAUCGCCCAGCCUCGUCACGGAGGGCACGACGCACAUCAAGGAGCUGAUGCAGUGGUGCCUCGAGGACCGACUUGUCUUUGACCACGUCCUCUACACCCGCAUCGUGUUUUUACUGACGAUGAUCGUCAGCUACUUGGACCGGCAGAACUUGUACCGCGCCUCCUUCCCGGAGGAUUUCGCGAAGCGUGACGGUAUUGUGGUAGAGUGGAUCGUGACUAACGAGCGGUGCGUCGACUUUGAUGAGUGCGUGCUGCAGUGCGACGCCGUGAUGGAAGAGUUGCUGGAGCAGAUGCGGCAGGACAUUCCGUCCCGCCCUCCGUUCAGCUUCAUGUACCGCCUCGCGGACUACUACUUCGCCACCGACAACGUGGAGAAGAUGAUCGCCGUGAUGGAGGAUGCGGAGAGCUACGGCGUGAGCGUGGCGGAGAGCACGACGGCAAAGCUGAUGCAGAUGGCAUGUGCCUUCAACUCUCCGCAGGUGCCGGAGCUGCUGCUGCGAUGGCGGGUGCUGCCCCCUCAGUGUGUGCUGGCCACGCCGGACGUGAGCCGUCUCCUCUUCUUCUACAGUCGUUCUGGCGGCGGCCUGCCGUGCCCUCACUGCGGUGAGCCCUACAAUCAUCGGAACGUCAGCGUGUACUGCUGGCUGCAGACGCCGCCGCAUCAGCGGCAGUGUCCGGCGCUGCGCAAGGCGCGCGUGCAGAAAGGAGAGUUGGAGGAGUCGCGGGAGCUGCCCCAGAAUGCGGACUGGUCGGCACAGGCCUUUGGACUCUUCGAGCUCUCGCGUGCACGUGCCAUUGAGUGGACGGCGGUAGAGUGGCGCGGCUUCUUGCUCUGCUGCAUCUUCUCUCCGCGCGCCAUGGAGGCCAAGGCGCUCAUGGACCAGCACCUCGACGUGACGGAAAUGGAUGACUUCUUGCGAGCCGCAUGCAUUCGCCUGCUGCGCCACCACGCGCCAGCAGAGGCGUGGCCCACCUUAAAGAAAUGGAAGCAGCAACAAUGUAACAUGUCUCCCAUUGCGCUUCAGGAGGCGCUGAUGGCCGCCUCGAUGGUGGCGGACGCUGCCACGCGGCUGGAACACAUGAAGGCGGUGUGGCAGCUGCUUCUGGAGAAGGAUAGCUACGUUAUGCCCCUCACACGCCGUUUCUAUCAGCGACGAAUGGAAGAGCUGGCGAAGAGCUACGCCGCCGCCGCCGGUGGUGACGGUAAGGAGUCGCAAGACGACUUGGCAACUGAGCGGGAGGAGGCGCAGCUCAUGCAGAGGGUCGUGGAGAUGCAGCCGCGCCACGUGUCGCUGCUCGAUAUGAAGGACAGCGCCGCCGACUUCGUUGUCGGUACACGUCGCAAGAACGUCUAUCGGCCGCGUUAAGCUAGUGGACCGUGGCCGUCCCGUUUCUCCACCUCGCUUCCCCAUCCUCCUGUCCUGCACCCACCGCUCUUUCCUGCAGACAUGUGCGCCAGCGUAUCUGCGAAUACGUCGGCUACGAGGGGGGGGGGCUGGUGCUGUGUGUACGGGGGUGUAUCUGUGCAGGUGCACGUGGGAAGGGGCGCCCGGGUGGUCGCCCACCCACCCGGCCGCGGUUGAUCCUUGCGACCGAUGCUCUUGUGGUUGUGCUCACAGAGUGUGAUGAGGCGCGUGCGUCUCUCCCACACAGGGACAAGAGAAGACGAAGAAGAAGAUCGCUGAGCAUCUGCGCGAUGUACGGCCGAGAUGGAGAGUGGGGGAGGGAGAAGUGAUAAUACGCGGAGGCAGUGGUGGCAUUUGCCUCCCCGUCCCCCUCCCGCCGCCUGGUGUGCCAGAGCGGCCACUUACCAUGUGCUGUGUGAUCAACCGCCCCCUACCCGCCUUCCGACCAUGUCUGACGCCCUCCCCCUUUCACAUCCUCUCACUCUCGCUGUUUUGGGGUAACUCCCCAG
rnacentral:misc_RNA from 1 species